CCUACGCGGGGCAGCAGUGGGGAAUAUUGGACAAUGGGCGAAAGCCUGAUCCAGCCAUGCCGCGUGUGUGAAGAAGGCCUUCGGGUUGUAAAGCACUUUCAGUGGGGAAGAAAGCCUUGGGGCUAAUACCCUCGAGGAGGACAUCACCCACAGAAGAAGCACCGGCUAACUCCGUGCCAGCAGCCGCGGUAAUACGGAGGGUGCGAGCGUUAAUCGGAAUUACUGGGCGUAAAGCGCGCGUAGGCGGUCUGAUAAGCCGGUUGUGAAAGCCCCGGGCUCAACCUGGGAACGGCAUCCGGAACUGUCAGGCUAGAGUGCAGGAGAGGAAGGUAGAAUUCCCGGUGUAGCGGUGAAAUGCGUAGAGAUCGGGAGGAAUACCAGUGGCGAAGGCGGCCUUCUGGACUGACACUGACGCUGAGGUGCGAAAGCGUGGGUAGCAAACAGGAUUAGAUACCCUAGUAGUC
rnacentral:rRNA from 1 species